rnacentral:rRNA from 1 species
UACGAAGGGGGCUAGCGUUGCUCGGAAUUACUGGGCGUAAAGAGCGCGCAGGCGGUCGUUCAAGUCGAGUGUGAAAGCCCCCGGCUCAACUGGGGAGGGUCAUUCGAUACUGAUCGACUCGAAGGCAGGAGAGGGAAGCGGAAUUCCCGGUGUAGUGGUGAAAUGCGUAGAUAUCGGGAGGAACACCAGUGGCGAAGGCGGCUUCCUGGCCUGUUCUUGACGCUGAGGCGCGAAAGCUAGGAGAGCAAACGGG